rnacentral:rRNA from 1 species
UACGUAGGGUGCAAGCGUUUAAUCGGAAUACUGGGCGUAAAGCGUGCGCAGGCGGUUGUGUAAGACAGAUGUGAAAUCCCCGGGCUCCAACCUGGGAACUGCAUUUGUGACUGCACAGCUGGAGUGCGGCAGAGGGGGAUGGAAUUCCGCGUGUAGCAGUGAAAUGCGUAGAUAUGCGAGGAACACCGAUGGCGAAGGCAAUCCCCUGGGCCUGCACUGACGCUCAUGCACGAAAGCGUGGGGAGCGAAACAG